UACGGAGGGGGCAAGCGUUGUUCGGAAUUACUGGGCGUAAAGGGCGCGUAGGCGGACCUUCAAGUCAGGGGUGAAAGGCCUGGGCUCAACCUGGGAACUGCCUUUGAAACUGGAGGUCUUGAGUCCGGGAGAGGAUGGCGGAAUUCCCAGUGUAGAGGUGAAAUUCGUAGAUAUUGGGAAGAACACCCGUGGCGAAGGCGGCCAUCUGGACCGGUACUGACGCUAAGGCGCGACAGCGUCGGGAGCAAACAGG
rnacentral:rRNA from 1 species